CCGGGGGGCCGGGCAGCCGCGUCAUUUUCGCGCAAGCGGGAAUGCCGAGGAAAGUCCGGGCUCCACGAAACGAGGGUGGCGGGUAACGCCCGCCGGACGCAAGUCCAGGGAAAGUGCCACAGAGAGUAUACCGCCGAUGGCCCCUAAAGGGCACAGGCAAGGGUGAAAGGGUGCGGCAAGAGCGCACCGGGGGCCUGGUAACAGGUCCCGCAUGGCAAACCCCACCCGGAGCAAGACCGAAUAGGGGCGGCGCGCCGCAAGUCCUUUGGACAAGCGGCAGGCGGGUUUCGCGCCGGACCGCCCGGGUUGGUCGCUGGAGCGGCAUGGCAACAUGUCGCCGAGAGGAAUGGCUGCCAUCGUGCGCCGCGUCUUCGGAUACGGGCCGCGAUACAGAACCCGGCUUACAGGCCCCCCGGCAUC
rnacentral:RNase_P_RNA from 1 species